GUCUUAAAUGGUUAUGAAAGAAAUAGAGAGAUGUAAAAUGCACCAUAUUUUAUUCAGAAGGAUCAUUGUAACAGUUAAUGUUCAACAAAUUGCAAAAGUUCAAGCACAUUAUGCCGAGGACGGCAUUGCGCUCACUUUUUCACGUUGGCGUUUCUGUUCCACUCGGAUGCAUGAAUAUGUAGCGAUUACAAGUGAUAACAACGCAACAGCUCCGAUACCGACGAUUUCAAGGGAAGCAAGCUUCAGACGAGUAUCCAUUUUCAGGUCGCUAAGUUCCUGUCGUGAUUGGUCUAGACGAUCUUCCACACGAUCUUCUAAGCGUUGAAUAUGGUACAAUGGUGUCUUCACUUUCUCUUGCUCUUCUAUCUCAGCUGGAAAAAAGAAAGAGUUCAAUAUAAUUAUAAUAUAAAGAAACCCUAAAUUGAUU
rnacentral:lncRNA from 1 species